rnacentral:lncRNA from 1 species
GAAAAUAUAUUUAUUUUGAACAUAAUAAUAUCAAAUUGCGGUCCACAUUUUACCUAUGAGUCUAUGACAUAUGAAAUAUACCAUCAGAAUUGCAUACUAAAACAAGAAUAAAGUGUUUCAAAUUUGUGCAUAAACUACAAACAGAUGAAUUAUGCACAUUCGUCAUAGUUUGAUGAGAUUUGAAAGAUCGAGAGCUGUUAUUAACUUCCAAUCUAGUUUCUUCUUCGUGAUUAUUGGUUAGUUACAAAGGUACUCUAUGAAACAAUCGAAAACUUGAAGAGCAUAUUGUGUUUGUAGUUUUUCCCUGGUUCAACAAUCUGUGAAGGAAACUUCGGAUUAUUGACGGAGUCUGGAUAACUUUGUGUUUCUAAACAUAAUCCCGCGAAAGCUUGGUAUACCGUUCCAUUCUUCCCCUUGAUGUCCUUUAACAUUCCUCCGGUAUAGAACUGCAAACCGGGUUGGUUUGCGGAUAACUCCAUUUUUCUUCCCGAUUUCUUAUCAACGAGUUCCACUAUUUUCCUCAUCUUAUCCGCCUUACCAUCUAAGCAAUAAUUAAUAUCAUAUCUACAAAGAAAAAAAUCAAUAAUUACAAAGAUGUUACCAUUAUUAGGGAUAAAUGUGGAUAUUGGAAGGGAUCCUAAUCAAUAUAUAAGAUAGAUGGGUCACUCCACUUAGUACCAAUUGGUUUUAGGUUGAAAGUUCAUCUAGCUUAACAUGGUAUCAGAGCCCGAUCCACACAGUCCAAUCCGAUCCAUUAUCGAUCCAGCCCAAAGUCGGCCCAUCGAUCUUUGCCCGAGCAUUCCGAGAUUGACGCUCAAAGAGCCAUCAUCUCGAGGGGGCGUAUUAGGGAUAAAUGUCCCACAUCGGAUAUUGGAAGGGAUCCUAAUCAAUAUAUAAGAUAGAUGGGUCACUCCACUUAGUACCAAUUGGUUUUAGGUUGAAAGUUCAUGUAACAUGGUAUCAGAGCUCGAUCCACGUAGUCCAACCCGAUCCACAUCGAUCUGGUCCAAAGUUGGUCCAUCGAUCUUUGCCCGAGCAUUCCGAGAUUGACGCUCAAAGAGCCAUCAUCUCGAGGGGGCGUAUUAGGGAUAAAUGUCCCACAUCGGAUAUUGGAAGGGAUCCUAAUCAAUAUAUAAGAUAGAUGGGUCACUCCACUUAGUACCAAUUGGUUUUAGGUUGAAAGUUCAUCUAACAUGGUAUCAGAGCCCGAUCCACGUAGUCCAACCCGAUCCACAUCGAUCUGGUCUAAAGUUGGCCCAUCGAUCUUUGCCCGAGCAUUCCGAGAUUGACGCUCAAAGAGCCAUCAUCUCGAGGGGGCGUAUUAGGGAUAAAUGUCCCACAUCGGAUAUUGGAAUGGAUCCUUAGCAAUAUAUAAGAUGGAUGGACUACUCCACUUAGCACCAAUUGGUUUUAGGUUGGAAGCCCAUCUAGCUUAACAACCAUCAGAUAACUUAGAGAAUUUUAUUUUUUUUAACUUGAGAAAAGUAUAUGUACUCACCCUGUUUUAAGAUCCUUCAUAUUAUCUUUAAUAGGACGGGGUUGAAGAAAAUCAUACGGUGUUCGUUUCACCGGCGAUAUUUUUCCGGUAGGAAUGAGUUCGCCGUCGACAGGAGUGUAACUUGAACCUAGGAUCUGUAUUUCCUCGGACAAAAUAUCUCCGGAGUUAUGACCACCAAGAUUCCAAUAAGUGUGAUGAGCUAAGUUCACCGGAGUUGCUUUAUCUUUAGCCUUUGCCUCCAUUACUACACUUAAUUUAUUGUCUUUGACAAGUUUAUAUGUCACCGUGACAAUGAGUUCUCCGGGAAACCCUAUUGUUACAUAAAGAAAUAAAUAAACUAGUAAUCAUAAAAUUUUCCUUACAGAUUAGAUAUAUAUAUAUUUUUAAAAUCGGGUAAAAAUUAAUAAAACAAUUGAAAAGAAAGGGGACCUUGAUCACCAUCAGGACUUGUGUAAGUGAAUACAAUGUGAGGUUUCUUGCCAUCAUACUUGUGCUUUGUAACUGCCCACACAACAUCGCCAAACCCUUUCUUCCCACCUAAAUUAUACAUAAAUUAUAUUCAAAUAAUCAUAAUUAACUGAUUUCUAAUAUGUUAUAGAACUUAUAGUACUCGUAUCUAAUUACCAUGAAGUGUGUUUUUGCCAUCGUUGGCAACAGUCUUGUACUCCUUUCCGUUCAAUUUGAAAUGGGCCUUUCCUAUUCUAUUCGCUACUCGGCCCACGGUUGCUCCAAAAUAGACCUUAUCUGUCUGCUUUGCAAACAAAGUUAGUAUAUUAACUUAGCAUAGUAAAAACAAAAUAAAAUUGUUGUAAUAGUAGUAAUUAAAAUCAAACAGAAAAACAUAAAGGGAAACUAAAGUUUCUACGCACCUCAUAGCUUUCGACGCUAUCAUAACCAAGAACAAUAUCGCCACUUUUUCCUGAAAAUUUGUUAAAGUCAUCAUAAUAAAAUCUAGUUAAAAUGUAUAUAAUAUGAGUUUUUAUUUGAUUGCCAACACUCAAAAUGAUUAGUUCACUAACCAUUUUUAUCCGGGAAAUGGAGAGACAUGAUUGAAGCACCCCAAUUUGUGAACUUGACGGUUAGAUUUUCCUUUUUGAGCUCAUAUAACCCAAUGUUUUCUUUUUCAUUAUCAUCUCCAUCAACUUCAUCAUCAUCAUCAUCUUUAUCAUCGUCAGUAUCAGUUUCAUCAUGUUCACCAUUCUUUUUAUCUUUGUGCUUCUUUUCAUCAUCAUCACUAUCAUUAUCAUUUUCAUGAUGCUUAACACUCUUCUUCUUAUCCCCAUGCUUCUUCACAUCAUCAUCAUCGUCUUUCUUUUCAUGUUGAACACCCUUUAUAUGCACAUCCUGCUCGUUCUUUUUAUGCUCACCUUCCUUCUUAUGCACAUCAUGCUUCUUCUUUUCGUCCUUUUUAUUCUCUUUGCCAUCAGAACGGGCAUUGUGAUCACCAUUUACUUUUUUUCCUCCUUUCUCUUUGUCUUUACUAAUAUGAUGAGCUUUAGUAACUUUCUUGCUGCUCUCCACUUGUUCCGAUUGCACUUCAACGUUGUUGGCAAAUGAAGUUACCACAACUCCUAAUGUAACCAAUAUAACCAAACAUAACAAAAGAGAAACUCUCGCCAUGGUGAAAGAAAAAACAAGAAUUGAAAGUAAUGAGUAAGAUGGAUUUUUUGGUGAGUAUUUAUAGGUUGAUUGUUAUUAGAAAUUAUAAAUAGGAAAUUUUAACGAAUGAUUCGUCAAAGAAGUUAGGAGAUAAAACCGGAAAUCAUAAUAUAAUCUAUCAAAACUAGCACAUAUUAAGAAAUAAAAUGAAUAAAAAACAAACGAGGAUUUCUUUGGUAACUGGUGAAAACUACAAAAACGAAUACGACUUACAAAGAGACAAUAUGGAUUCAUAAACAUAUCAAAUAAUUUCAUUCAUCAGAUCAUACUUUUAAUUUUAAUAACGCUGUAAAUUGUCUAUCAUUAAGUACAUGAUGUGCUUGAUUAAUAUUUUUGUAGUUACAAUAUUAUUUUCUGUGCUCUGCCCUUUCUUACAGUGUUUCUAAAUUGCAAACUUGAAAGAACAAACUCAUAACGAAUUAUUAUGUCACUAUAUAUAAUUUUUAUGAACUAGGCGUAAACCUAAUAUUUAAAGUUCAAACAUUAUGUAAUGUGUUUUCACGUAGUCAGUCGGGUAGAUAGACUCAAUAUUCAAUACACCCAAUGUACAAUUUACAUUUUAUUCAAGCACAGUUUAGUACCUUUGUACUUUCGUAACUUGAUUUAACCUUUUUGUUUUAAUAAAAGGCGAGCUGAAACUGAAAUUAUUGCCUUUUAAAUUUUUGUAUCAACUAUAAGUGGAAAAAAAACAUUGGAACAUUGCUUCAGAUCCAUGCACCAUGAAUCAGGCACGUUUUUUUUUGCUAAUUUUACUGUAAAUAAUCCCAUAUUACGGCUACAAAUCAAGACGCAUUAUUUUAUAAUUUUCGUAGGUUAUCGAAGGAUUAUCUAUUGGUUACAAUUAAACAUUUCUAACAAAAAUAACUUUAUAGAUACUAAGUUUAUUAAUUGUUUUAGUAAAAAAUUGAACUAAAAAUAAUUUAGUAAAGUUUAUGAAUCUCUACCGGUUAUUACAAGACCAAAAAGGAACCUGUAAAAUGGAAGUUAGCAUUAACGAUAUUGUAGAUAAUAAUAAUAGUGGUAGCCGGUAGAUGAGGAAGAUUAUUGGAAACACACAUUCCAAAGACGAAGAAGAAAAAUCCAAAAAGAGAACAGAUUCGAAACAGUGUUUAGGAGAAUCGUUCAGUCAUCUAGCUAGCUUUUCGGAUCUUUGGAUGCUUUUGGAUUUGAAGUAUUUAUAAAUUUAAAUUAUACAAUAAAAUGUACAUAUACUUGUUUAUCAGUAUCACACAAGAAAACAAAUUGAGUACCAAAUAUUUCUUUCUUCGUGGGCUCUCCAUGUGACCUCACUGCCACCACUACUUCACUUCAACAGAAACUACUCAGACUUGAGAUCGUGAAAGUUUUAGUUUAAGUGAAUCAUCUAAAACAAUACAAUAUACAUAUAAGUUAUAAAUUCAUGCAGUGUUCGUAUGAUGUAGCAAUACUCAAAUAAAUAGUAUGAUAAACAUUGGAGCGAAACCUUUCACCAAAAAAUCUGAAACGCACUGUUUUGUGCGAAACCAAAGUUACUGAAAAAUUAUAAAUUUAUUGUCAGAUCCUAAACUCAUAUGCCAACUACACUAAUAUAUUCAGAUACUGUUCGAUAUGCGUACGUACUUACAUACGUAAUUAAUGGAAUAUAUAGCUAGAUGAUGGCAUGUGAGACCAUGGAGUCAUCAUAUGUUUUAUAUGGUAGUAUAAGAAUUUUGGUGAAGUGCACAUGUUUAUGUUGAUGGAUUAGGGAUAGGUCAACUCCUAAAUUCUCUGUUUUCUAUCAUUUGAUUUAGUGAAUACCGUCAUUAUUUAUGAAUAGAUUGACCCGCCAUAAUCGCAUUUAAAUGCACUUUAAUAUGAUCUUGAAAGUUGAAGUAUAAGAUCACAUUCGAAUAUUGAUAUUUCUUUCUCAACACCAUUUUAUGACAAAAUCUUAUGCACACUUCUGACAUCCUCAUUCAGCAUAUAAUUUGAAAUAAAUGAAUUAACCUUGAAAAGAAAAAUGGGUAAUGUGGCUACAACUAUUAAAUCCAAACCCUUUUACAAACAAAAAAACUAUUAAAUCCUUCGAGGUCUUCAUGGGUUUUCCUCUAUGAUCUUAUACGGUUACGGGAAGAAAAUAAAUAUUUUGAACAUAAUAAUAUCAAAUUGCGGUCCACAUUUUACCUAUGACAUAUGAAAUAUACAAUCAGAAUUGCAUACUAAAACAAGAAUAAAGUGUUUCAAAUUUGUGCAUAAACUACAAACAGAUGAAUUAUGCACAUUCGUCAUAGUUUGAUGAGAUUUGAAAGAUCGAGAGCUGUUAUUAACUUCCAAUCUAGUUUCUUCUUCGUGAUUAUUGGUUAGUUACAAAGGUACUCUAUGAAACAAUCGAAAACUUGAAGAGCAUAUUGUGUUUGUAGUUUUUCCCUGGUUCAACAAUCUGUGAAGGAAACUUCGGAUUAUUGACUGAGUCUGGAUAACUUUGUGUUUCUAAACA